AGAGUUUGAUCCUGGCUCAGAUUGAACGUUGGCGGCAGGCCUAAAACAUGCAAGUCGAACGGUAACAGCGGAAGCUUGCUUCCGGCUGACGAGUGGCGGACGGGUGAGUAACACGUAGGAAUCUACCUAGUAGUGGGGGACAACCCGGGGAAACCCGGGCUAAUACCGCAUACGCUCUACGGAGGAAAGCAGGGGAUCUUCGGACCUUGCGCUAUUGGAGGAGCCUGCGUCGGAUUAGCUAGUUGGUGGGGUAAAGGCCUACCAAGGCGACGAUCCGUAGCUGGUCUGAGAGGACGAUCAGCCACACUGGAACUGAGACACGGUCCAGACUCCUACGGGAGGCAGCAGUUAGGAAUCUUGGGCAAUGGGCGCAAGCCUGACCCAGCCAUGCCGCGUGUGUGAAGAAGGCCUUCGGGUUGUAAAGCACUUUCAGCGGUGAAGAAAAGCUCAGGGCCAAUAUCCUUGAGUCUUGACGUUAACCGCAGAAGAAGCACCGGCUAACUCCGUGCCAGCAGCCGCGGUAAUACGGAGGGUGCGAACGUUAAUCGGAAUCACUGGGCGUAAAGCGCGCGUAGGCGGUUUGUUAAGUGGGAUGUGAAAGCCCCGGGCUUAACCUGGGAAUUGCAUUUCAAACUGGCGAACUAGAGUGCGGUAGAGGGAGGUAGAAUUUCCUGUGUAGCGGUGAAAUGCGUAGAUAUAGGAAGGAAUACCAGUGGCGAAGGCGGCCUCCUGGAUCGACACUGACGCUAAGGCGCGAAAGCGUGGGGAGCAAACAGGAUUAGAUACCCCCGUAGUCC
rnacentral:rRNA from 1 species